rnacentral:snRNA from 1 species
GGAUGCGAGGGCAGUGUGGCUGGACAUCUGUCACUGCACUGAGGGCAGGGUUGAGGGCCGGUCAGGCUGCCAGGCGGGGCUCCCUUCCUCCCUCACUGCUGUGUGUGCUCCGGAAGAGGACCGACCACUGGGAAAGGGAGGCCCGUUUCCUUGGUCAGGGGAAUCCGAGUAGCUGCGCUCCCCUGCCAGGACCUCCAAACAGCUCUUAGGGCACCUCCCAAAGCGUGUUCUAAGGAACAGUAACUUUCAGAAGAGGAGUUUCAUGGUCAAGUUCAUUU